CCACUCUGCCUGGGACACACUAACAGCACUGCCGGUCUGGCCCCUCUCCUUCAGUACUUGCAAGUUAAGUCUGCUGUGUGUCAACCACUUGCUUGUUAUAGAGUUUGUUUUCCGAUUCGGAGUCUGGCAGCCCCAAGAAACUAGGCUGAGCUGGCUGUCAUCAGUGCCAGUCGGAGACAACAGUGAGAAUGUGGCCACAGUGGGAAGAGGAACAAAUAAUGGGCCAUCACCCACUCUGAGGGUCCUGAUGUGAGGCUUAGCUCUGCAUAGGGCAGGAGGUCUGAAUGGCUAAGCAGCCUCCACCAAGGUGAGGUCCAGUCCACCACUGGCCCCUUGGCACUAGCUGCCAGAGCUGCGUGCAGUGUCCCUUCAGGAACCCCCCCUUGCCCCAGCAUGGGACUGGGGGGUCGUGGUUUUAAUUUCUUGAGGUCCAUUGUUUCAAAAGUCUGACGGCCAGAGGGCACAAUGCCUCUCCUGCAAGAGGAAACGGAAGCCUUGCACGCGUUAGUAGGCCUGUGCUCUGCCCCUAGCUACAUCCCUUGCCUGCCAACCUUGGUUUUUGAAACUGGGUCUCAACAGGUGUCCUAUGUUGGACUCAAACUGGCAAUCCUCCUGCCUCUGUCAGAUGCCUGCACCACCACCCAAUUUGUGGCCAUCUAACGUCAAAAGUCUCGGGCCAUUUAACGUUUUCCGCCAGCGGUGGUUUUCUGUGUGAUCACGUGUUUUGACUCCUUCCUCCCCAUCGAGCAAGCUGGUCUGCGCUGGUUUUCAUCUCCCACUGAAGCUUCUGAGAGGAUGGCCUGGGUGCUGGUGUCUGCAUCGUCCCUGUCACCCGGCCCCGACACCUGCGCGCUCUGUCGCCCGCAGCCACUAGGGGGCGCAGCGAGGACGCGCGCCUGGACUCCGGCGCCUACGCAGGGGCCCGCGUCACGUGCUCCGCGCGGGCGGGCGAGCGAGCGAGCCCGCCCCGCCCUCGGACCACAUGAUCCACCCGCGCUGUCUGUCGCGCUGCGCUCGGGGGUCUGCAGCGCGGCGGGCGUUUGCGCAGGUAUUGCUCAGUUGCGCCCCGGGGGCCUCCUUGGAAGGUUCUGGAAGAUGCAGAUUCCCACGCAGCCCCCGAGCCUGUGGUUGUCCUUGGAUGCUGAAUCAUGA
rnacentral:lncRNA from 1 species